rnacentral:rRNA from 1 species
GACGAACGCUGGCGGCGUGCCUAAUACAUGCAAGUAGGACGCAGUUGCGAAGGGGUGAGUAACGCGUAGGUAACUACCUAUCAGAGGGGGAUAACUAUUGGAAACGAUAGCUAAUACCGCAUACUAGUAGAUGGACCUGCGUUGUAUUAGCUAGUAUGUAGGGUAAUGGCCUACCUAGGCAACGAUACAUAGCCGACCUGAGAGGGUGAUCAGCCACACUGGGACUGAGACACGGCCCAGACUCCUACGGGAGGCAGCAGUGGGGAAUCUUCGGCAAUGGACGAAAUUCUGAUCGAGCAACGCCGCGUGAGUGAAGAAGGUUUUCGGAUCGUAAAACUCUGUUGUUAGAGAAGCGGUAUCUAACCAGAAAGCCACGGCUAACUACGUGCCAGCAGCCGCGGUAAUUC